AACUCCAGUUUUUAGCACUUUUCAUACUGAUGGUUUAAUGAAGCCCCGGGAAUGUGUUGAGUCUUUCUGGCCAAUUGCAUCGCCAAAAGUGUCAUUACU